rnacentral:rRNA from 1 species
CAAUAGCGUAUAUUAAAGUUGUUGCGGUUAAAAAGCUCGUAGUUGGAUUUCUGCCGAGGACGACUGGUCCGCCCUCUGGGUGAGCAUCUAGUUCGGCCUGGGCAUCUUCUUGGAGAACGUAGCUGCACUUGACUGUGUGGUGCGGUAUCCAGGACUUUUACCUUGAGGAAAUUAGAGUGUUUCAAGCAGGCACACGCCUUGAAUACAUUAGCAUGGAAUAAUAAGAUAGGACCUCGGUUCUAUUUUGUUGGUUUCUAGAGCUGAGGUAAUGAUUAAUAGGGAUAGUUGGGGGCAUUCGUAUUUAACUGUCAGAGGUGGAAUUCUUGGAUUUAUGAAAGACUAACUACUGCGAAAGCAUUUGCCAAGGAUGUUUUCAUUAAUCAAGAACGAAAGUUAGGGAUCGAAGACGAUUAGAUACCAU